rnacentral:rRNA from 1 species
CUAUCGGAGUGCGACUUAGAACUGCAAGUCGAAGGUGUGUAGCUGGGCACGCCUGGCGUACGGCUGAGUAAUACAUGGACAACCUACCCUAAAGAGAUGGAUAACCUUGGGAAACUGAGGACAAUACAUCAUAGGUAAGAAAUACUGGAAUGUUUUCUUGCUCAAAGGCUUUAUCACCAUGCUGAUAAGGUGCUUUAGGAAGGGUCUGUGGUCGAUUAGGUAGUUGGUGGGGUAACGGCCCACCAAGCCGAUAAUCGGUAGGGGCCUUGAGAGAGGGAGCCCCCAGUCGGGAACUGAGAUAAGAUCCCGAGCCCUACGGGGUGCAGCAGUCGCGAAACCUUUACAAUGCGGGAAACCGUGAUAAGGGUACUCCGAGUGUCGACGCGCCGCGUCAACUUUUCAGAUGCCUAAAAAGCAUUUGGAAUAAGUGGUGGGCAAGGCCGGUGGCAGCCGCCGCGGUAAAACCGGCACCACAAGCGAUAUCCAUGAAUAUUGGGCCUAAAGCGUCCGUAGCCGGUCUAGUUAGUUCUUUGUGAAAUCCCAUAGCUCAACUAUGGGGCGUGCAGAGGAUACUGCUAGACUUGGGAUUGGGAGAGGGAAGAGGUACUCAUGAGGUAGGGGUUAAAUCCGUUAAUCUCAUGGGGACCACCUGUGGCGAAGGCAUCUUCCUGGAACAACUCCGACGGUGAGGAACGAAAGCUAGGGGAGCAAACCGGAUUAGAUACCCGGGUAGUCCUAGCCGUAAAUGAUGCGGGCUUGGUGUUGCGCAACUUACGAGGUUGUGCAGUGCCGUAGGGAAGCCGUUAAGCCCGCCGCCUGGGGAGUACGACCGCAAGGCUGAAACUUAAAGGAAUUGGCGGGAGAGCACCACAAGGGGUGGAGGCUGUGGUUUAAUUGGAUUCAACCCCGGAAACCUCACCAGGAAAGACGGCAGAAUGAAGGCCAUGCUGAAGACAUUGCCAGACAAGCCGAGAGGUGGUGCAUGGCCAUCGUCAGCUCGUGCUGUAAAGUGUCCGGUUAAGUCCGGCAACGAGCGAGACCCCCGUCUCCAGUUGCCACCUGUUCCUCCGGGAGCAGAGCACAAUGGAGAGACUGCCUGCGUUAAGUGGGAGGAAGGUGGGGGCGACGGUAGGUCUGUAUGCCCCGAAUUCCCUGGGCCACACGCGGCCUACAAUGGGUAGGACAAUGGGAUGCGA